rnacentral:lncRNA from 1 species
AGGAUGAGGUCGGAAAAUGAGACGCCUUGUGCUUGCCUUUUUUGUUUGUUCCUUGUUCCAGUAAAAAGUUUUUGUUAAUGAAGUGAGAUUUUAUGCCUUUUCAUGUUAUUCUUCAUAUGUUUGUUCAAUCAUACCAGCAUUUCCUCAACAGCUAUAUUCCUUCAGUUCCUCCUGACGAGUCUUUAUCGACAGCUCUAUUGUGCAGAUUAAGGCUUGCAUA